rnacentral:rRNA from 1 species
CCCAAGCGAUGGGGUGGCGCAGGAAGGUAGCUGGGCCAGUCAGUGGUUGUACUGGUGUAAGAGUGUAGGCCGUGACAUAGGCAAAUCCGUGUCACAUUAAGGCUGAGACUUGAUGCAUACCCGUUGUGGGGAAUUCAGUGAUCCUAUGCUGCCGAGAAAAGCCUCUAGUGAGUUCAUACACGGCCCGUACCCCAAACCGACACAGGUGAUCAGGUAGAGAAUACCAAGGCGAUCGAGAGAACUGUGGUUAAGGAACUCGGCAAAAUGCCCCCGUAACUUCGGGAGAAGGGGGACCAUGCCCGGUGAACAUCUUCACGGUGGGAGCUGGGUGUGGUCGCAGAGACCAGAGAGAAGCGACUGUUUACUAAAAACACAGGUCCGUGCGAAGACGUAAGUCGAUGUAUACGGACUGACGCCUGCCCGGUGCUGGAAGGUUAAGAGGACCGGUUAGCCGUAAGGCGAAGCUGAGAAUUUAAGCCCCAGUAAACGGCGGUGGUAACUAUAACCAUCCUAAGGUAGCGAAAUUCCUUGUCGGGUAAGUUCCGACCUGCACGAAUGGCGUAACGACUUCUCUGCUGUCUCGACCACAGACUCGGCGAAAUUGCACUACGAGUAAAGAUGCUCGUUACGCGCGGCAGGACGAAAAGACCCCGGGACCUUUACUAUAGCUUGGUAUUGGCGUUCGAUUCGGUUUGUGUAGAUAGGUGGGAGACUGUGAAGCAUGCACGCCAGUGUGUGUGGAGUCGUUGUUGAAAUACCACUCUGAUCGUAUUGGACGUCUAACCUCGGCCCAUGAUCUGGGUUAGGGACAGUGCCUGGUGGGUAGUUUAACUGGGGCGGUUGCCUCCUAAAGAGUAACGGAGGCGCCCAAAGGUUCCCUCAGCCUGGAUGGCAAUCAGGUGUUGAGUGCAAGUGCACAAGGGAGCUUGACUGUGAGACUGACACGUCGAGCAGGGACGAAAGUCGGGACUAGUGAUCCGGCACCGGCAAGUGGAAGCGGUGUCGCUCAACGGAUAAAAGGUACCCCGGGGAUAACAGGCUGAUCUUCCCCAAGAGUCCAUAUCGACGGGAUGGUUUGGCACCUCGAUGUCGGCUCGUCGCAUCCUGGGGCUGGAGUAGGUCCCAAGGGUUGGGCUGUUCGCCCAUUAAAGCGGCACGCGAGCUGGGUCUAGAACGUCGUGAGACAGUUCGGUCUCUAUCCGCCGCGCGCGUAAGAAACUUGAGGAAGGCUGUCCCUAGUACGAGAGGACCGGGACGGACGAACCUCUGGUGUGCCAGUUGUUCCACCAGGAGCAUGGCUGGUUAGCUACGUUCGGAAGGGAUAACCGCUGAAAGCAUCUAAGCGGGAAGCCUGUUCCAAGAUGAGGUUUCUCACCACCUUGCGUGGUUAAGGCCCCCUACAGACCAUGGGGUUGAUAGGCCGGAACUGGAAGCGCAGCAAUGCGUGGAGGUGACCGGUACUAAUAGGCCGAGGGCUU